rnacentral:pre_miRNA from 1 species
AGUGUAAUGGCUAAGUCAUAUGGUAACUCUAGGUUUAACUUUUCUAAAGUACUACCAAAUGUUCUUCCCAAGUGGCUGGACCAUUUUGCAUUCCCAGCAGCAAU